rnacentral:lncRNA from 1 species
AUGGUUUACAAAGAAUUGUCUGUGUCUGUCUCUGUCUCUUUUUCUCUUCAUCUUUUUGUUUCUCUCUCUUCUCUCUGUCUCUCUAUUCUCUCUCUCUUUCUCUUUUAUCCCUCUUUCUCUCUCUAUUUUCUCUCCCCGUCUGUCUUUCUUUCUCUUUUUAUCUUUCUCCCCUUUUCUCUUUCUCUUUUCUUUCUCUCUGUCUCUAUUUCUCUGUCUCUGUCUGUCUGUCUCUCUUUCUCUUUUUCUCUCUUUCACCAUUAUCCCUAUCUCUCUUUUCUCUCUCUUUCUGCCUCUCUUUUUAUCCCUCUUUCUCUCUCUUUUUUCUCUCCCUGUCUAUUUCUCUUUCUCUUUUUAUCUCUCUUUUUCUCUCCCUGUCUCUGUCUCUCUUUUCUCUCUCUUUCUCUCUCUUUUUAUCUCUCUUUCUCUCUUUCAUUUUAUUUCUCUCUGACUAUCUGUUUUCUUUCUCUUUUUAUCCCUCUUUUCUCUUUCUCUCUUUUCUCUCUUUCUGUCUUUCUCUCUUUCUUUGUCUCUCUCUUUUUAUCCCUCUUUCUCUUUCUUUCUCUUUUUUUCUCUCUGUCUCAGUCUAUCCCUCUUUUCUCUCUCUCUUUUUCUUUUAUCCCUCUUUCUCUCUCUUUUCUCUCUUCCCUUUUCUUUCUCAUUCUCUCUUUUCUCUCUUUUUUCUCUCUCUGCCUGUCUCUCUUUCUCUUUUUAUCCCUCUUUCUCUCUUUUUAUUUCUCUCUGUCACUGUCUAUCUCUGUCUGUCUCUCUUUUCUCUCUCUAUGUCUAUCUCUCUUUUCUCUCUCUUUUAUCCCUCUUUCUCUCUUUUCUCUCUCUCCCCUUUUCUCUCUCCUCUCUUUUCUCUCUCUGCCUCUAUCUGUCUCUAUUUUUCUCUUUCUCUUUUUAUCCCUCUUUCUCUCUCUUUUAUUUCUCUCUGUCUCUGUCUGUCUCUGUUUUCUCUCUCUCUCUUUAUCUCUUUCUCCUCUUUUCUCUCUUUCUUUUUUCUCUCUCUGUCUCUGUUUCUGUCUAUCUUUCUCUGUCUCCAUCUGUCUCUUUUCUCUCUCUCUUUUUCUCUCCCUUUCUUCUCUCUCUUUCUCUCUCCUCUUUUCUUUCUCUCUUUUUUCUCUCUCUGUCUCUGUCUAUCUUCCUCUGUCUCUCUUUGUCCCUCUUUCUCUUUCUCUCUUUCUUUCUCUUUUUUCUCUCCCCAUCUCUGUCUCUCUCUUUGUCCCUCUUUCUCUCUUUUUUCUCUCUCUCUGUCUCAGUUUAUCUCUUUUCUCUCUCUCUCUGUCUCUUUUUCUCUUUUAUCCCUCUUUUCUCUCUUUCUCUCUGAAUAAAUUUAUGUCGGUCUGAGUCUCAUGUCAGGGUCCU